AAAAAUCGAUUCUCUCUCUCUCUCUCUCUCUCUCUCCCUCUUUCUCUUUAUCUUUUUCUCUCUUCUUCUUUUCUCUAAUAAAUAUCAUAUAAAAUACAUUGAAAAGAGAUCGUCCGAUGAAAAGCAUGAUUCGUUUCACGAUCGAGUCUCGGAUGACGACGUUCCGGAAAACGUAUCUUAUUUUCAGUGUGCCCGACUAAAUUUAGUCGCUUCUCUUCUCUACCCUUCUUCGUAUUCUCCCUUUUCUCCCUCCUGCUUGCUCAGCUUUGCUAAUGGUUGCUAGUUGUACUUUACGGUCACGUUUUAGUUAAUCACUAUGUAGUAGUUUAUAAUAAAGGUGUUCGGUUUAACAUCAUUUCAAAGGCUAAAAAUGAAUACACGUGACUCGUAAGAAGUUGAAAGGCAGUAACGUUAGGAAACUAGAGGAUUUCUAAAUCGGAUCGUAAGGUCCCUUCCAUCCUCGAAGUUCAUGCUGUUAACGCGGCUAACGUAGCUCGACAAAGGUACUCGAGUUUAUUUGAGCUUCGAUUCGAUUGGGAGCAGCUGCUGGGUACCUAAGUAUAGCUUGCAUGUGUAGUGUUCUCUCUCUUUCUCUCUCUCUCUCUCUCUCUCUCUCUCUCUCUCUCUCUCUCUCUCUCUCUCUCUCUCUCUCAAUCUCUAUCUCUCUCUCAUUCGUUUAGAAGAUAUAACAUGACGAUCGAUCAGUCUGUCGCUUUUCGUUCGAAUCCAAUCAGAUUGAUAAAAAUAACUAAAACCAUAUUUUCCAGAUCUUGUGCAAAACAAAAACAAAAAAGGAAAAGAAAAAGAAAAUAAAAUGAAGAAAAAAAAAAAUAGAAUCUCAUAACUUCGACGAAGAAAACGAUUCUCUCGAGAUUAUUCGCUUGAUAUUCUAAUAAAACUGUUUCCUUAUUUUCCAGAAGAUUUCCUUUGGGAUAUCGUUGAAAAAAGAAAAUUACAAAUAUAUAUAUAUAUAUAUA